AACAAGACGGAAGAGAGUCACUCUUACCGUCGCGCAUACCUUAAGCGGGUCUGCCGCCUUCGUUUCUCUUUCUUCGCGAAUGACUAACCUCCCUUUGGCUCUGCCCACAAGGCGUGCCUUGCCGGUGCAACAUGGUGCCAGCAGGGUUCGGUUUAGGGCUUGUAGCUCAGUUGGUUAGAGCGCGCGCUUGAUAAGCGUGAGGUCGGAGGUUCAAGUCCUCCCAGGCCCACCACUUCGCAAUCCGCCAGGAUUGUCGUUUGUUCCUCGACAAAAGGUAACUUCGAAGAGGUGUUAUCAAGGGGCCGUAGCUCAGCUGGGAGAGCGCCUGCUUUGCAAGCAGGAUGUCGUCGGUUCGAUCCCGUCCGGCUCCACCACUUCGCAAUCCGUAGGAUUGUCGAACCGCGCAAUCCGCAAGGAUUGUCGCUUCUCCUCCAGGAGAAAUGGUGUCGAGUGGAUGUGAAACCGGUUGGCAAAGUCAUUCGUUUUAAGAGUUUGCGGCGAGCUUCUUGGCUCUCCGCCUGUUCUGUUUGACAUCGUAAAGAGAAGAUUUGUUCGAACUUCAUAUCCUGAAAAGGGUGUGAUUUGUCGCGGGAGACGCUCAAUCUCCCGCAUAUGAUGGGUUUGCCUAACCGCACCCUCGAACCGAUCUCGAGAAGCUGGUCUUUUUGUG
rnacentral:tRNA from 1 species